UACGGAGGGUGCAAACGUUGCUCGGAAUAUUGGGCGUAAAGCGCACGUAGGCGGUCCGCUAAGUCGGGUGUGAAAUCCCUCGGCUUAACCGAGGAAGUGCAUUCGAAACUGGCGGGCUUGAGUACAGACGAGGGUGGCGGAAUGGAUGCUGUAGCGGUGAAAUGCAUAGAUAGCAUCCAGAACCCCGAUGCGAAGGCAGCUGCCUAGACUGUAACUGAACGCUGAGGCACGAAAGCGUGGGGAGCGAACAGG
rnacentral:rRNA from 1 species